UACGGAGGAUGCGAGCGUUGUCCGGAAUGAUUGGGCGUAAAGGGCGCGUAGGCGGCCCGGUAAGUCUGAAGUGAAAGUCCUGGUUUUAAGUUGGGAAUUGCUUUGGAUACUGUCGGGCUUGAGUGCAGGAGAGGUAAGUGGAAUUCCCAGUGUAGCGGUGAAAUGCGUAGAGAUUGGGAGGAGCACCAGUGGCGAAGGCGACUUACUGGACUGUAACUGACGCAGAGGCGCGAAAGUGUGGGGAGCAAAC
rnacentral:rRNA from 1 species